UACGAGGGGGGCGAGCGUUGUUCGGAAUUAUUGGGCGUAAAGGGUGCGUAGGCGGCCUGACAAGUCUGAUGUGAAAUCCCUGGGCUCAACCCAGGGCCUGCAUCGGAAACUGUCGGGCUUGAGUAUGGGAGAGGUGAGUGGAAUUUCCGGUGUAGCGGUGAAAUGCGUAGAUAUCGGAAGGAACACCUGUGGCGAAAGCGGCUCACUGGACCAUUACUGACGCUGAGGCGCGAAAGCGUGGGGAGCAAACAGG
rnacentral:rRNA from 1 species